CUCAUUGCCUGCAGAAGGCCAGGCUUUGGCUGUCUGUGAGCAGCGUGGCUGCAAACUGGGGCUGUAAAACUGUACUUUGUGACCUGAUGGUCUCCAUGGUGUCUCCUGGUGUUCCUGGUGAAAGGACUGUUUUUACGGUCCUUUCACACCUCUCCAGCCUUCCCAGUGCUUGCAUUACUCAAAUGCAGCACCAGACUUCUGGACAAGACAGGCUGCCAAUACCUGGCCACGAUAAGGACACUUCAAUGCCACACACCUGUAUGGCAGUACCGAGACACACGGCACAAGGCUCAUGA
rnacentral:lncRNA from 1 species